UACGGAGGGUGCAAGCGUUAUCCGGAUUCACUGGGUUUAAAGGGUGCGUAGGUGGGCAGGUAAGUCAGUGGUGAAAUCUCCGGGCUUAACCCGGAACUGCCGUUGAUACUAUCUGUCUUGAAUAUCGUGGAGGUGAGCGGAAUAUGUCAUGUAGCGGUGAAAUGCUUAGAUAUGACAUAGAACAUCAAUUGCGAAGGCAGCUCGCUACACGGUUAUUGACACUGAGGCACGAAAGCGUGGGGGAUCAAAACAGG
rnacentral:rRNA from 1 species